UACGGAGGGAGCUAGCGUUGUUCGGAAUUACUGGGCGUAAAGCGCGCGUAGGCGGCUUUGUAAGUUAGAGGUGAAAGCCCGGAGCUCAACUCCGGAACUGCCUUUAAAACUGCAUCGCUUGAAUCCAGGAGAGGUGAGUGGAAUUCCGAGUGUAGAGGUGAAAUUCGUAGAUAUUCGGAAGAAACACCAGUGGCGAAGGCGGCUCACUGGACUGGUAUUGACGCUGAGG
rnacentral:rRNA from 1 species